ensembl:lncRNA
UGCCCAAUGAGGAACGGGUGUUUACUGUCUUGCACAUGUUAAUUCAGGAGCUUGAGGGAAGCAACUCCAUGACAGUGAUGUCAAGGGAACAGCUAAUGUUCCUUCUGGAGAACCACUUUAGAGUUGCCGACAUAGCCCGUAUUUUUGGUGUAAGCACAAGAACCAUCCACAGGAGAAUGGUUAAAUAUGGCCUGUCCGUGCGACAGACUUAUUCUGACAUUACAGAUGAACAACUUGGGUGAGUGAUCUAUGACUUCCCUCUCCAUUGUCCAAAUGCUGGUGUAUGGACUGUGACUGGACAUCUCAAUUCUCGUGGAAUCCGAGUCCAACAGUUCAGAGUGCGGCAGACUCUAAAGGCUGUUGAUCCGUUUGGAAAUUUUCUUCGCGGACUUCAGCUUAAUGUUGUUCCAAGGGUUCCAUACGCUGUUCCAGGUCCUCUCUCCCUGUGGCACAUAGAUGGUAACCAUAAACUGAUACGCUGGAGAAUUGUUAUAUAGAGGCUGUGUUUGGAUUUUCUGUCGAGAUUUUAAUAAACGUUGAUAUGGUUGCUUUCCUUCCUGGAAAAAACAACAAGGGAAGCAGGUGCAGGAGCUGACAAAAAGACGCCGAAUCAAGUGGGUUGCCGCAAUCAGGAGAGAAAAAUUUUACUUUUCAAAACAUUCCUGCAUCAGCGAGAGUGUGUUCGCUGCAUUUUCAGUCUUGUUUUUAUGCUAACACUGUCAAACAAACUUGUAAAUGUAAAUUAUGUAUUUCAAUGAAAAAAAAAUGUAAACGUAAAUUAUUGAUUGUAAAUUAUGUAUUCAUUAAUUUCUAAUCAACAUAACCACAUGAAUUACAAAAAUAAAUCUGCCCACCACAAGCAAAAUAAAACUGGG